rnacentral:rRNA from 1 species
UCCUACGGGAGGCAGCAGUGGGGAAUAUGGCGCAAUGGGCGAAAGCCUGACGCAGCGACGCCGCGUGAGGGAUGAAGGUCUUCGGAUCGUAAACCUCUGUCAGCAGGGAAGAACGGUCACUGUGCUAAUCAGCAGUGAAUUGACGGUACCUGCAAAGGAAGCACCGGCUAACUCCGUGCCAGCAGCCGCGGUAAUACGGAGGGUGCGAGCGUUAAUCGGAAUUACUGGGCGUAAAACGCUCGUAGGCGGUAUGUCAAGUCAAGGGUGAAAUCCCCGCGCUCAACGUGGGAACUGCCUUUGAAACU